AUGAACGCUGGCGGCGUGUCUAAGGCAUGCAAGUCGAACGGACUCUCGGAGUCAGCAAUGAUUUUGAGGGUUAGUGGCAAACGGGUGAGUAACACAUUGAUAACCUACCCCGAAGUUCGGGAUAACGGUCCGAAAGGACCGCUAAUACCGGACGUGAUCCCCCCACAUAUGCGGGGGGAGGAAAGCCGUAAGGCGCUUCGGGAGGGGUCUAUGUCCCAUCAGCUAGUUGGUGAGGUAAUGGCUCACCAAGGCUAUGACGGGUAGCAGGCGUGAGAGCGCGACCUGCCUCAGUGGAACUGAGACACUGUCCACACUCCUACGGGAGGCUGCAGUCGAGAAUCUUCCCCAAUGGGCGAAAGCCUGAGGGAGCGACGCCGCGUGCGGGAUGAAGGGCUUCGGCCUGUAAACCGCUUUUAGUCGGGAAGAAGUGCAAACUGACGGUACCGACUGAAUAAGAGGUUGCUAACUCUGU
rnacentral:rRNA from 1 species